GAGGCCAGUCGCCCCCUGGCGGGCGGCGGCGCGCAGGGACCGCCCCCAGCUUCGUGCUGCCGCCCGCCUCAGCCCAACAUGGCGAUGCACAACAAGGCGGCCCCGCCGCAGAUCCCGGACACCCGGCGGGAGCUGGCGGAGCUCGUGAAGCGGAAGCAGGAGCUGGCGGAAACACUGGCAAACUUGGAGAGACAGAUCUAUGCUUUUGAAGGAAGCUACUUGGAAGACACUCAGAUGUAUGGCAAUAUUAUUCGUGGCUGGGAUCGAUACCUGACCAACCAAAAAAACUCCAAUAGCAAAAACGAUCGAAGGAACCGGAAGUUUAAGGAAGCUGAGCGGCUUUUCAGUAAAUCUUCAGUUACAUCAGCAGCUGCAGUUAGCGCAUUGGCAGGAGUUCAGGACCAGCUCAUUGAAAAGAGGGAGCCAGGAAGUGGGACAGAAAGCGAUACUUCUCCAGACUUCCACAAUCAGGAAAAUGAGCCCAACCAGGAGGAUCCUGAGGAUCUGGAUGGAUCUGUGCAGGGAGUGAAACCUCAGAAGGCUGCUUCUUCUACUUCCUCAGGGAGUCAUCACAGCAGCCAUAAAAAGCGAAAGAAUAAAAACCGGCACAGCCCGUCUGGCAUGUUUGAUUAUGACUUUGAGUAUGUAUAUUAGGUUAGGCUGGGAAGUUUUUUUUAAAAACAGAAAAACGUGAUGGAGGAUUGAUCUGAAGUUAAACAAAAAACCACGAGCUGACUAUUAGAAGAUGCGUUAGUGCAGAAGCUUCCAGGCUGUAGAGCCCUGCUUCCCUUCUCCGACCUCACAAAGAUAAACAUCCCUCACCUGAGUGUGUGGCCAUCCACCUCCGCUCUCCCAGACCCAGUGCCUGUGACUCUUGAGUAGUUUGUUCUAAAUGUGGUGACAAACAAGUCAUUUCUCUAAGACAUUGGAUCAUUUACUUUGUGUCAUUUUUAGUAACAGAACUGCAGGAAGACCAAGACAUGGUUAUAAUCCCAGCAAAUUGCUAACUGUGCAUUUCUCCCUUCUUAGAAUGAAUGUCUCCCCCCAAACUGGCUGGCACCAGCUUCAUCUGUGAUACCCAUCAAGAAAUGUUCUCUGGUUUUAUUUUAUGCUGAAAGUAGAACACAAGUCACAUUUCAGAUGGAGGCUGUAAAUAUCUGGCAUUUUCUUAUUUGGUUUUGUGCUUUAUUAUUUUUCUAUUGUUGUUUUUAUCAUCGUAUUUUCUUUUGGGUCUUUUUUGUAAUGCCUUUGUACAGCUCGUACCUUCCUGCUGGCAUAUCUGAUAAUCUUUUUCAUGCAGUUGCCAAUAUUCUUAACUGAAAAUAAUCUGGUUUAUUAUAAGUAAAAUGGGAAACUUGGCUCUUUGGUUUUUUGCAAGGGGAGGUAAAGAGUGUUUAUUUAGAAAUUACCUAUCUUUAAUCUUUCUGAGUUGGAAGCAAAUUCCUGUUCAAGGAACAAGAAAAAUGGAAAAACAUAAGUUUAAAUCAAUCCUUUCUAAAUAUUUUUAUUCUUUUGUAUAAAUAAAAUUUCACAGGCUUUGACUUCUCAUGCUUUACUUUUAAGCCUGUGAUUGUUUUUUCACUUAUUUAUUCAUAUCAUGCCUUAUGGAAAUUUCUUUCUUUUUCUAUAUUUUCUCUCUUUGCUGGUAUUCACCUGAUUAAAUAAUUUUUCUAAAAAUCAACAUGGCAUAUGGAAAGACUCAAAAUGACACCAAAAGCUGAUAAUGUGUGGAGUUCUUAAGUGGAGUGAAAGAUUGUAUCAGUGAAAGCCAGCGUCGCCCAAGAGAACCCCCUUCCUUGCCGGAGUUGACGGGUUUAGGGACUUGCUGAUAAUAGUUACCUGUCUUUAGUGCCUGGUGAUCGGCUACGCAUUGGAAUCAUCUAGGAAGCUUUAAAAUGUACUGAUGCCUGGGUCCCAUCCCCAGAGAUCUGGGGCAUAGCCUAGUUAUUGGGAUUCCCUUUCAAACAGUUCCAGAUAUUCUGAUAAGAAGCCAAGUUGAGAACUACUGCAUUAGGAGACUUGAAUGGUUUGACUUAAAUUGUAUGUUAUGAAUCAGUCUAAUGAAUAAGAUCUGGGGCCUGACCUUUCCUUUGACUCUAGUUAUCAUACUCCUUUACUCAUGACCGUAUCUUUGUAAGAAACAGUUUGUUCCAUUUGUGAUAAUAUUGGUAGAGCUCAAUAUGGAUAGCAUCUGCUGUCAUAACAAGUCUCCCUUGUCAGAUGUGUAAAAGCUUUCACUCUUGUUCUCAAAUAAACUUUUUUUUUUUUUGA